CAAAACUGGUAAGUUAGUCUUCGUAAACAGGUAGACCUAUUUUGCCUCACAAAAAAGUAGACCCUUACUCGUAAAUAAGUAGACUAGGCUUCGUAAACACGUAGACCUCUCCAGAAUAUUUCAAGUGUCUGUGAAUUCUGCACACUUUACAGUUGGUCUACUCGUAGUGUGACUCAAUGAUUCGAAAACCUAACGCACUAGGUUCACCAAACAGGUAGGUUAUUGUUUGUAAACAGGUAGACCAUUUUGUCUCACAAAAAAAGUAGAGCCUUACUCGUAAAUAAGCAGACCGGGCUUUGUAAACCGGUAGACCUCUCAAGAAUUCUUCAAGUGUCUAUAAAUUUUGCACACUUUAGAUAUGAACUACUCGUAGUGAGAGUUAGUGAUUAGAAAACCUAGUACACCAUGUUCACAAAACAGGUAGGUUGUUGUUCGUAAACAGGUAGACCAUUUUGUCUCACAAAAAAAGUAGAGUCUUA
rnacentral:lncRNA from 1 species